UCGUUGCUUGCGCAGGCAGUUUCACUAGAGUCCCCGACAUUACUCGCUGGCAACUAAUGAUGAGGGUUGCGCUCGUUGCGGGACUUAACCCAACACCUCACGGCACGAGCUGACGACAGCCGUGCAGCACCUGCGCACGCUCCCUCGCGGGUCGCUUGGCUUUCACCUCGCUACCACGUGCGUGUCAAGCCCGGGUAAGGUUCUUCGCGUUGCAUCGAAUUAAACCACACGCUCCGCUGCUUGUGCGGGCCCCCGUCAAUUCCUUUGAGUUUUAGCCUUGCGGCCGUAGUCCCCAGGCGGGGUGCUUAUUGCGUUAGCGACGGCACCGGGGGGGUCGAUACCCCCGACACCUAGCACCCAUCGUUUACGGCGUGGACUAC
rnacentral:misc_RNA from 1 species